rnacentral:rRNA from 1 species
UACGUAGGGUGCAAGCGUUGUCCGGAUUUAUUGGGCGUAAAGAGCUCGUAGGCGGCUUGUUGCGUCGACUGUGAAAACCCGCGGCUUAACCGCGGGCUUGCAGUUGAUACGGGCAGGCUAGAGUUCGGUAGGGGAGACUGGAAUUCCUGGUGUAGCGGUGAAAUGCGCAGAUAUCAGGAGGAACACCGGUGGCGAAGGCGGGUCUCUGGGCCGAUACUGACGCUGAGGAGCGAAAGCGUGGGGAGCGAACAGG